rfam:Canis lupus familiaris chromosome 29, whole genome shotgun sequence.
GCCUGGGUGGCUCAGUGGUUGAGCAUCUGCCUUUGGCUCAGGGCAUGAUCCUGGAUUCUUGGGAUCAAGUCCCACAUCAGGCU